AUUGAACGCUGGCGGCAGGCCUAACACAUGCAAGUCGAACGAGUGGCGGACGGGUGAGUAAUGUCUGGGCAACUGCCUGAUGGAGGGGGAUAACUACUGGAAACGGUAGCUAAUACCGCAUACCAUCAGAUGUGCCCAGAUGGGAUUAGCUAGUUGGUGGGGUAACGGCUCACCAAGGCGACGAUCCCUAGCUGUUCUGAGAGGAUGAGCCGCCACAAGGGAAAUGAUACACGGCCCAGACUCCGACGGGAGGCAGCAGUGGGGAAUAUUGCACAAUGGACGAAAGCCUGAUGCAGCCAUGCCGCGUGUAUGAAGAAGGCCUUCGGGUUGUAAAGUACUUUCAGCGGGGAGGCGUUACCCGCAGAAGAAGCACCGGCUAACUCCGUGCCAGCAGCAGCGGUAAUAC
rnacentral:rRNA from 1 species